ensembl:lncRNA
CCCCUAACAGGAAACUACCUACCCACCAACCCCCUAACAGGUAACCCCCAACAUCAGCCCUGAGUAAAACAACAACUAAAGCAUUUUAUUUUGCACUUUUUAUUUAAAAAGCGUUUGAACAAAGGAUUUCCCUUCCUUGACCACCACAAAAUGAACAGCCCUUCUUGACAACUGGGCGGAAGAAUAAACAUGUCAGAAAAUAACAUGAUGACAUGUUUCUCCAUAAAUGUAGAAUAAUACCUGGGAACUGUGUCUGGUAAUUUCCAGAACCUUUAGCAUUUAUUCAUUUUGUUUGCAGUGUUUACAAAAAGCUUUUCUCUCUUGGACCAAAAUUGAGACAAUGUCACUCUAUCAGGGACGGGAAACUUUAAUGGGGGUGGGGGCUAUAAAGAAAUCGGAACUCAUUAUGAGGGGCCAUAAUGGUUCAUGGGCCUGCAUACCCACAUCCAUUCCCACACAUGUAAUCAGAGCCAGCCCUCUCCUUUUGGGGGCCCUGAGUGAAAUUUUGAUGACCCCCCCCCUCCCUCUUGCGAUUAAAACAUUUUAGCGGCACCCUUCUUGACAGUGGAGAGAGAGAAUGUAUGUUUUAGUUCAUUUCCUGUAAUUCUAUACAUUUUGCCUUGGGGCGGUGAGAACAUUUUUCAAUUUUAUAACAAAUUUCAUGCAAUUCUAAUUUUUAAAAAAUGUAAUGGGGCAGAGAGGACAUGUUUCAGUUUUACAGCUAAUUCCCUGCAAUUCUACACAUUUUGCCAUAGGGUGGAGAUAAAUGUCUGCAGUUUUUAAUAUGAUAUCUGAGUGAGAGUAAUUAACAAAAUCAACGGAGGCCCCCCUGGUCAGUAAUUCGACCAUGAUUACUACAAAUUUAGGUAGCUGGCUAGACUAAUUUACCAGUCUACAUUUUUUUUUUUAGCUGAUAUGGGCUAAUUGAGUGGCUGUCAGUGACUUACAUAACUGCUGAUGCACAACCAACAUUUUGAAAUGACACCUUGGUGUAUUCUACUAUUCUACCUAGCAACAGUAAGUUGAGACCCCGACUGAGUUCCCUGGAAGGGGUUCUAUAUGAUGUCACUCUUAUGUUUUGUGUGUCGCAAACGACAAAAGAAGAAUCACAAUGCAUCUAACUGUAGAUAUCAAAAUUGUUCUCUUUUAAUACAUGUUCUAAGAAAAUAACAUAUUGUUGAAGUGAAUGGUUCUAAAAAAAAAAAAGCUCAAGCUCUUACAUUUUCCAUAAAAGUGAAGAAGAGAAAUCUCCGUCCACACAUUUUAAGAGACCCUCCUCUAGUUUGCAGAAAACAAUGUAGCUGUUUGUAAAAGCUAAUUUCCUACAAUGCUACAGAUUUUGCCAUACCGUGUUCUUGUGCUAUCUGGGCAAACAUAACAAAAUCAAUGGGGGCCCCAUACCAAGACAUCUUGGGAAUUUUAAAUUCUCCUGUUUUUUUUGGAGUGGCGGCAAGUGAAUGGAAAAAAGGGAAACACUGCUAAGGAUGUGUUUACACAGGCAGCCUAAUUCUGAUCUUUUAACCAAUCAGAUCAGGUAUUUUGCCAAUAAUUGGUCAAAAGAUCAGAAUUGGGCUGCCUGUGUAAACUAAGUAGUCUCAGGAAGGAUUUGUAUGUUUUUUUUUUACUAUAGUCAGGUUAAGAUACGUGGCAUGUUCACACAAUGUCUGUUUAUUUGAAUGUACUAGUGAGUCCAGGGGUGUAUUCACUUGGAUCUAAAAGGAAGGAAACGUGUAGGAACCCACCUACCUGAAUUUGUCCAAUAUAAACUCUUGUUUCUGUUGUAAAACCUGGUGUGUGUUACCUAAUGAAUACACCCCUGGUGUACUACGGCCCCAGAACUUCAUUGUUAUUUACCCCCCUGUUGGCCAGACCAGGGGGUGGAUUAACUGUAUACUAAAUGGCACCCUAUUCCCUAAAUAGUGCACUGCUUUUGACCAGGGCCCCAUGGGGCAUAGUGUUCCAUUUGGGAGGCACCUAUAUGAUGUUAAUAUACUUUAAAAAAAAUGGAAUAUGUGGCUGGCAGGCAUGCUUUAGAGGGGAUCCCACUCACUCAGCCGGGGUUGGGGUCAAUCCCAUUUCAAUUCAGGAAGUGAACUGAAAUUCCAAAUCAAAUUUUACUCAAAUGUGAGACAAAUGUGGAAUUGAAAUGGGAAUUGACCCCCAACCCUAACGUACGAAUAAUUUGAAAAAACUUGAUGGCCACAUGUCACAUUAAAUGACAUGUAAGCUGCCCACUCACUGCAUUAUAUGUACACAAUGAAUCACAAACUUCUGUGGCCAUCUUUGUCUUUGAAAUGUACAGAAAUACAUGACAAGCUUUCAAAUCAUAACAUUCAUCAGUUUUGUCAGUUGAAGAAAGCAUUAACUUGUGUAUAAGGGCAUGGUGUUGCCUUUUGGUAUGUGGUCACUGAAGACCGAAGAAGCAAUGUGAAGAAUGCUGUAGGUAUAUGGAGUACUGCAUCCUGAUUUACUAAACUAAACACAACUGUUCUGAUUCAGAAUGGUUGAUAUGAUUCUGGUUCUAUUAAACACAAAUGUUCUGAUUCAGAAUGGUUGAUAUGAUUCUGGUUCUAUUAAACACAAAUGUUCUGAUUCAGAAUGGUUGAUAUGAUUCUGGUUCUAUUAAACACAAAUGUUCUGAUUCGGAAUGGUUGAUAUGAUUCUGGUUCUAUUAAACACA